GCAAAGCAGCAAGGGCAAGUGUGUGUGUCCCCCCCGCCGCGGCUGCUGCAGGAGCGAGGCCCCCCCCCCCCCCAAGACCCCAAAUAGGGGGAGGGAAGGUGCUGGGGAGCCCCUGGGUGCAGCCGCAGCCCCUCACCGUGAUGCCAGGGACAGGCCUGGGGGGCUAGCGUCACCUCCAAGGUACGAACCCACGACGCCGCAGCGAAAACCGCUGCCUGCCGGCACCAGCGCAGGGGUCGGCCGCCGAGGCAGAAAAUCUGCAGAAGCAGCAGCGUAAUCGCAUUUGGGUGAAAAAUCCUUAUCAGCAAGAAGAAAGCCGAGGGCACUCACAGGAGACGGCACAGCCCGGCCACGGGCUCCCCCGGCCCCCCUAUUCCCCCUCCCACGGCUCCAUCCCCUUCGCUCCCUCUGCAUCCCUCCAAAAUUUAGCAAGAGUCCCCUUAAAAGAGCCCGUUUGUCCCUUGUCUAUCCAUCUCAGCUCACCGGGAGCAUCCCUGUCCCCAGCACGUUGCACCAAGAGGCCCACGGACCCCACGAUCUCAGCCCUACAAGGACUAUUUCUUUUGUGAGACCCUUAAAUAAUAAUUUCGGGCAUUGCGGCCGCCCGGCCGGGCUCCACGCGAGGUACAAGCGCUGCCCGGGUCGAGCUCGAUGAUGCACAGGGAGAAAAAAAAAUCCUGCAAGGGCAGAGGAAAAGCCUUUGCAAAAAAAUUCCGUGGAUUUUACUUAACUCAGCACAUCUGCAGGCAGACACUGCCAGGAGCCGGCGGCAGCAUCCCUGUGGAUGUGCCAAGGGGACGGGGGGCACAGCAUGUGGCCAUUUUAAUUACCGGCAGCUCUAAAAUAAACUCAAUUUGCAGCACCCUUAGUCACAA